rnacentral:lncRNA from 1 species
CAGACCUCAUGAUCCACCCACCUUGGCCUCACAAAGUGCUGGGAUGACAGGCGUGAGCCACCACGCCCGGCCGGUCCUGCUUUCUAGAAAAAACUGUAGUGCGCGCUCCAGAGACCUAACCCGUUCCCACACCUGAGUGGGCAACUCUAGCCUUUGAACACAGCCCUAGGAAAUGACUGCAAACGAGGGGGAAGCUUUUUAAAUACAAGGAAAAAGGCAUUUGUACCAAGCUACAUCGCAGUGAAAUUAUCAUUGGAAAACAGUGGAAAGAGGCCGGGUGUCCCCCCACGGGUCAGGCGCAGUCCCAGGGAGGUCUAGACCCCAAGAGCAGAGAGGCCUACGGGAGACACGGCUUGUGCCAGGAGGUGGGGUACGCGGCCACCAGGCACUCUAGUUACACAGCGAUGGGCUGAAGGCUGUGCAUCCCGCAGGGAGUGAGCCCUCCGACCCUGGAGGAGUUCAAGUAGCUGCUUGUCAGGAUGCAGGGACAGGAGGGGCACCAUUGCAGCCGAUGCCUGAGAGAGCCAGAGGCUGCCGGCAUCCAGCAGCAGAGAGGCCGGGCCUGGAAUGGACCCCCAGAAGCUGGCCAGAGGCCUGGCAGUCGGGAAAGGCUCGGUCGUCCUGGGGAGGGAGCAGCACCAGCAGAGGCCCCGCCUGGGUCUUCAUCAGAGACACCCCGAGCUGGUGGGGGAUUCCUGGGACAGUGUCACCCCCGGCAGGCCCCAGGUGCCCACCGCCCACCGGGCCACAGUGGGAGCAGCUCGGGUCAGGGAGGCCGGGCUGAAUGCGAACCACUGCUGAGGAGACAAACGCGGCGCCACGAGCAGGUCAGGAGAGAACUCCCUCCCACGGGCCGUCCUCGGACCGUGGCGUCAGCCAGCAGGUCCUGAACCACAGACGAGGCUGUCCCGGGUGUGAAAGAGGGUCUCUGCCUCCGGGUGGAGGCCGGUCCCACGCUGUGGACUGAGCUGCAUCCCUCAGAUGCGUCUGUUGCAGCCCUAACCCCGGUGUGAGGGGACGUGGAGGUGGGGCCUCAGGGGUGGUGAGGGUUAGACGGGGUCAGGAGGGAGGAGACGCAAACGGAAUUGGCCGGACCUUGAUCUGAGACCCGCAGCCUCGAGAACCUGCGGAGAACGCUGGAGCUGCCCUGGGUGUGAUUCUUGUUACGUCUCCCCGAGCUGGCUGAGACGUACGGCUCCACUCCACCGGCCUGUGCCCAGAGACCCCGGGGUACAGGAGGAGGAUGCCGCAGAGGUGCGUGUUGAUGAGUGGGUCGCACCAGGGCGGAGCCUCCUAGAAGGGCAGGGACGCACCAUCCUUGGGGAGCGGCCUGGAGAGGCCUCAGGAAGGGGGUCCAGGGUGGCUGAGCCUCAGCCAUCACCCCAUGCCGUCCAGCCCUGCAAGCACAUGCUGUGCCUUGGACCUGCCUUCUGAUGGGGCCCGGGGCGCCCGUGGGGUCCCAGUCCCCGUGGGAGCAUCUCACUUUCCCUUCUGUGGUGCUGCUGGUGGCCAGGAGACCAUAUGUCCCAGCCAUAGUGGCAGAUGCUCUCCAGGCCGGCUAGGGGACACCGGCCCUCAUGGCAGGUGAGGAGGCAGUGCACUGUUUUGGGGGCUCUGAAGCCCGGCCUGGCCGACUUGAAGUGUCCAGGGCCCACCACCUCCCUCCUGGUUGAGGAGUUUCUGGGAGAAUGGUCAAAUCCCCAAUGUAUCAACUCAGCUUUAUCUCCAAAACCUACCACUUCCCAGAGAACAAAAUUAAAGAAGAUUUCACAGA